rnacentral:rRNA from 1 species
UAGGGAAUCUUCCCGUAUGGACGGAAGUCUGACCGAGCAACGCCGCGUGAGUGAAGAAGGUUUUCGGAUCGUAAAGCUCUGUUGUAAGAGAAGAACGAGUGUGAGAGUGGAAAGUUCACACUGUGACGGUAUCUUACCAGAAAGGGACGGCUAACUACGUGCCAGCAGCCGCGGGAAUACGUAGGUCCCGAGCGUUGUCCGGAUUUAUUGGGCGUAAAGCGAGCGCAGGCGGUUAGAUAAGUCUGAAGUUAAAGGCUGUGGCUUAACCAUAGUAGGCUUUGGAAACUGUUUAACUUGAGUGCAAGAGGGGAGAGUGGAAUUCCAUGUGUAGCGGUGAAAUGCGUAGAUAUAUGGAGGAACACCGGUGGCGAAAGCGGCUCUCUGGCUUGUAACUGACGCUGAGGCUCGAAAGCGUGGGGAGCAAACAGGAUUAGAUACCCCUGGUAGUCCACGCUGUAAACGAUGAGUGCUAGGUGUUAGACCCUUUCCGGGGUUUAGUGCCGUAAGCUAACGCAUUAAGCACUCCGCCUGGGGAGUACGGCCGCAAGGUUGA